GAUGAACGCUAGCGGCAGGCUUAAUACAUGCAAGUCGUGGGGCAGCAGAACUGUAGCAUUCCAGUUGCUGGCGACAGGCAAACGGGUGCGGAAAACGUACGCAACUUACCUUGAACUGGGGGAUAGACCGGGGAAACCCGGAUUAAUACCCCGUAAUAAAAUGGGGUGGCAUCACUUUAUUAUUAAAGCUCUGGCGGUUCGGGUGGGGCGUGCGGCUGAUUAGGAAGUUGGUUGAGGUAACGGCUCACAAAGCCUACGAUCAGGAACUGGUGUGAGAGCACGACCAGUCACACGGGAAAGAAGACACAGGCCCGACUGCUACGGGAGGCAGCAGUAAGGAAUAUUAGGCAAUGGAGGCAACUCUGACCCAGCCAUGCCGCGUGGAGGAUGAAGGCCCUCGGGGUUGUAAACUUCUGUUAUAGGGGACGAAACCUGUGUAUUCUUACGCAGUUGACGGUACCCUAGGAAUAAGCACCGGCUAACUCCGUG
rnacentral:rRNA from 1 species